rnacentral:rRNA from 1 species
CCUACGGGCGGCAGCAGUGAGGAAUAUUGGUCAAUGGGCGCGAGCCUGAACCAGCCACGUCGCGUGAAGGAUGACUGCCCUCCGGGUUGUAACCUCCUUUUAUAAAGGAAUAAAGUGAGGCACGUGUCCCUUUUUGUACGUACUUUAUGAAUAAGGAUCGGCUAACUCCGUGCCAGCAGCCGCGGUAAUACGGAGGAUCCGAGCGUUAUCCGGAUUUAUUGGGUGUAAAGGGAGCGUAGAUGGGUUGUUAAGUCAGUUGUGAAAGUGUGCGGCUCAACCGUAAAAUUGCAAUUGAUACUGGCAGCCUUGAGUACAGUUGAGGUAGGCGGAAUUCGUGGUGUAGCGGUGAAAUGCUUAGAUAUCACGAAGAACUCCGAUUGCGAAGGCAGCUUACUAAACUGCCACUGACAUUGAUGCUCGAAAGUGUGGGUAUCAAACAGGAUUAGAUACCCUGGUAGUC